rnacentral:lncRNA from 1 species
AAAAACAUUUGUUAAAGCAUCACAUCGUAACUUGGAUUUGAUAUUUUCUAAGAUUUAAGUGUACAUUUAGUUACACAGCUAGCUAGCAUGCUAACGCUCAACCAGUCUCUAGACUUACCAACACAGUGUAGCUAGCUAUAGCUUGAUCUCCAGCUACGCCCAGUGUUGGACAAUAUCCACCGACUCCUUUCAGAAUCCUCGAAUACAAAGUGUAACAAAUUGGAAAAUGAAACCGAACAAGAUGAGAAACAGGCCAAAGUACAGCAGCCAGAUUACCAAGAAACUUCUGUCGACCGCCGUUUUCAGAAGUGAUGCACGUCCCUUCCAAAGAAAGGAAAAGCGAUUUGCAGUCCACGCACACACUCUCUACUGGCCGGGACGGAUGGACAGGCGGAGAGGGUUUUACCACGGCAUUACGCGCGGGGGUGAAAUUGAAAGGGAUGAAUAGCCAAGUACUCGACUUUCUCCAUCUCACGACCAAUCACUACCCCGGCUAGGAUUUAUUCAAAUGAGGAAUGAUGUCAUCUCUCAAGUCACCCUACUUUCUUUCUUCCCAUCCUUCCCAAGUUGCACCGGUUGUCUCCCCCUUCCCGUAUCCCUCCACCAGUUUUCCCGCGUCCCCUCCCUCCAUGCCCGACUCCACGCUCAUCCUGCACACACCUCCUGCCGUUUCUUUCAACGGUGCAUUCUCUCCACACAAUGGUGGCAUGUUAGGAUUCUCCAUUGGUUCUGGACCACUGGAUGCUGAGUUUUCAGCCACAAAGGACAAGCCCCCACACAGACGAGACCAAACAUGUUUGACCUGUCAAAGAAGAGGCUGCCACAAGAAUCACCAAUGCAUAAAGAUACACCAUUUUAUGUCAGAUUGUAACAGAGUCAGAGACAUGGCGGAAUGGAUGGAGACAGAAACAAGAUGAAGAGGGAAUAGAAACAGAGGAAGGUUGAAGGAGCUGCCGCUGUCUGUAGUGUUUUUCCCCCAGACACAAUUGUCUCCCUUUACUGAUUGUGGGCGUUUUUUCAUAGGCUUUGUCUGUGUGUGCCGCUCCUGUCUUCACACCAGACUUCUGAAAGUCUCGGUGGGCAUGCUGCCUGUCCGUCUGCACUGCUGCUGUUCAGCUCUCCCAGUGCAGUCCGAGCUGUCUACAUGAGCCAGGCCUUUGUGCCGGGGUCUGCACUGGCUAGGCACCAUUGUGCUUCACAUUGUGUCCCCUUCAGCUCUCACCCUAUGGAAUUCAUCAUAACACACAUACAGACACACAUUUCACUUCCCCAGGAUGUUUACCUCGGUGAACAGUUGCUUAAUGGUGCG